GUACUGCUGAAGAGUCCAAAACUAGGCUGACGAAACAGAUGUCCAGUAC
rnacentral:hammerhead_ribozyme from 1 species